rnacentral:rRNA from 1 species
AUUGAACGCUGGCGGCAGGCCUAACACACGCAAGUCGAGCGGGGUUUUCGGACCUAGCGGCGGACGGGUGAGUAAUGCGUAGGAAGCUACCCGAUAGAGGGGGAUACCAGUUGGAAACGACUGUUAAUACCGCAUAAUGUCUACGGACCAAAGUGUGGGACCUUCGGGCCACAUGCUAUCGGAUGCGCCUACGUGGGAUUAGCUAGUUGGUGAGGUAAUGGCUCACCAAGGCGACGAUCCCUAGCUGGUUUGAGAGGAUGAUCAGCCACACUGGAACUGAGACACGGUCCAGACUCCUACGGGAGGCAGCAGUGGGGAAUAUUGGACAAUGGGCGCAAGCCUGAUCCAGCCAUGCCGCGUGUGUGAAGAAGGCCUUCGGGUUGUAAAGCACUUUCAGUGGGGAGGAAGCGUUGUGUGUUAAUAGUACACAGCGUUGACGUUACCUACAGAAGAAGCACCGGCUAACUCUGUGCCAGCCGCCGCCGUAAAAC